AUUGAACGCUGGCGGCAGGCCUAACACAUGCAAGUCGAACGGUAACAGGAAGCAGCUUGCUGCUUUGCUGACGAGUGGCGGACGGGUGAGUAAUGUCUGGGAAACUGCCCGAUGGAGGGGGAUAACUACUGGAAACGGUAGCUAAUACCGCAUAACGUCGCAAGACCAAAGAGGGGGACCUUAGGGCCUCUUGCCAUCGGAUGUGCCCAGAUGGGAUUAGCUAGUAGGUGGGGUAACGGCUCACCUAGGCGACGAUCCCUAGCUGGUCUGAGAGGAUGACCAGCCACACUGGAACUGAGACACGGUCCAGACUCCUACGGGAGGCAGCAGUGGGGAAUAUUGCACAAUGGGCGCAAGCCUGAUGCAGCCAUGCCGCGUGUAUGAAGAAGGCCUUCGGGUUGUAAAGUACUUUCAGCGGGGAGGAAGGGAGUAAAGUUAAUACCUUUGCUCAUUGACGUUACCCGCAGAAGAAGAACCGGCUAACUCCGUG
rnacentral:rRNA from 1 species